AAAUGUGAGGUCAAUGUGGUUGUGAUAUCUAUCACCCGUUGUUGAUCCCCAGCAUUUAUUUGACUAUUCUGGCUGCCUAGAGUGGUGCUUGCUCCCUUCCCUUAUCAUCUGUCCAAGUGAUUCCUUCCCAAUGCUUCACACUCAGUGAAAGAGGACUGCCUUCCCUGAUAGUGGAGGACUGUUCUUCAUUCAGGGAUUAUGAGUAGCUGUGAUUUUUCUGCUAGAACCCCCAGACAAGCUCUCAAAAUGGAGCAAAACUUAGAAUGCCACAAGACAAGAUUAUGUGCUGAGUUUAUACUAUUU
rfam:Cricetulus griseus cell line CHO-K1, whole genome shotgun sequence.